UACGUAGGGGGCAAGCGUUGUCCGGAAUCAUUGGGCGGAAAGCGCGUGUAGGCGGUCCGGUAAGUCGGGUGUGAAAGUCCAGGGCUCAACCCUGGGAUGCCGGUCGAUACUGCCGGACUAGAGUUCGGAAGAGGCGAGUGGAAUUCCCGGUGUAGCGGUGAAAUGCGCAGAUAUCGGGAGGAACACCAAUGGCGAAGGCAGCUCGCUGGGACGUUACUGACGCUGAGACGCGAAAGCGUGGGGAGCAAACAGG
rnacentral:rRNA from 1 species